UCAUAUAAGAUUGAAACACCAGUUCCUGUAUGAUCACCAAAAUUAAGCAACAUUGAGCCUGGUCAGUAUCUAGAUAGGUGACCACUUGGGAAUACCAGGUGCUGUA
rnacentral:rRNA from 1 species